CCAAUCCGCCGUGUGUAGGAUAUCCGCCAGUGAGGUGCCUGCUAAAAAGGCCGACGAUGCCACUGCCCCUCGAAAGGAGUGUGCGCCAAAUGAGGCAUCUACCCCGGCUAGAGCGAGAAUCCAUCUGACCCAUCUAGCCAAUGUGGUGACCGAGACCGGGCCGUGUGGACUCACAUAUGAUACCAAAAGUUGUUGUGCGGACGGUGAGCGCAAGCCCUCCGUUGCCGACACGUAGGCUCGGAGGGCCCGGACCACACAUAGUUGGGGAUCCGAAUUGAAAAACGGAUAGAACACUGAUGUUGCAUUGGAUUUAUUACGCUGUGAUAUGUGAAACGUGACUCCUUCGGGGCCAAUGGAGAAGGCGUCCUUAUCGAAAGUCCAAACGUCAGCCACUCUCCGGAAGGAAGCCAUGCACAACAGGAAGGUGAACUUCGCCAUCAGUUGUUUCAAUGAGAGCUGUUCGUUGGGAGGCCAGUUCCUGAGAAAACGAAG